rnacentral:rRNA from 1 species
UACAUAGGUUGCAAGCGUUAUCCGGAUUUACUGGGCGUAAAGCAAGCGCAGGCUGUUUUGUAAGUCUGACGUGAAAUAGUACGGCUUAACCGUAUUAUGCGUUGGAAACUACAAAACUAGAGAGUGGUAGAGAUUUUCGGAACUCCAAGUGUAUCGGUGGAAUGAGUAGAUAUUUGGAAGAACACCAGUGGCGAAAGCGGAAAAUUAGGCCAUAUCUGACGCUUAGGCUUGAAAGUGUGGGGAGCAAAUAGG